UUGCAAAUCUCGUCGAUGCC
rnacentral:snRNA from 1 species